AGGACGAACGCUGGCGGCGUGCCUAACACAUGCAAGUCGAACGCGCUCCAUUCGGUAGCAAUACUGAUGAAGAGCGAGUGGCGAACGGGUGAGUAGCACGUGAGCAACCUGCCCCGAAGACCGGGACAACACCGGGAAACCGGUGCUAAUACCGGAUAUCCCUAUCGGACCGCAUGAUCUGAUAAGGAAAUGGAUUCCGCUUCGGGAGGGGCUCGCGGCCUAUCAGCUAGUUGGUGAGGUAACGGCCCACCAAGGCAUCGACGGGUAGCUGGUCUGAGAGGACGAUCAGCCACACUGGGACUGAGACACGGCCCAGACUCCUACGGGAGGCAGCAGUGGGGAAUCUUGCGCAACGGGCGAAAGCCUGACGCAGCAACGCCGCGUGGAGGACGAAGGCUUUCUGAGUUGUAAACUCCUUUCAGCAGGGACGAUAGUGACGGUACCCGCAGAAGAAGCACCGGCCAACUACGUGCCAGCAGCCGCGGUAAUCGUA
rnacentral:rRNA from 1 species